GUGCCCGUAGCUCAGCUGGACAGAGCACCGGCCUUCUAAGCCGGGGGUCGUGGGUUCGAGUCCCGCCGGGCGCG
rnacentral:tRNA from 1 species